UCACCUGAACAAUGAGGAUUAUUACGUAUAUCAACUUCCACCGACUCCAGGCUGUAACGUGGCCUACUGCGGCGCAGGAGAACAAGUGGAACGAUGUCCUACAGGAGAAUUUAAGUUAAAUGGAAGAUGUGUCACUAAGUUGCCUGUCAUCUCUAUCACCAACGUCAUCAUUGAGACUCCAGUCGUGGAAGAACGACAGGUGAUCAUAUCGUGCCGUGUGACAUACAACGUGCCCGCUGGCACGCGUGAUGAAGGCGACGUCA